GCGGUUUGUGUGUGUGCCAUGCUGUGUUCUACAAUGCUUCGUUACCACGUUUAUCGAUUAUGCACGUUGGUUACGUGAUUCAAUAUCAAGUGUACCUUCCAAGACGAUCUAGGUCCUAGUCUCGUGACUGACGGCGAGUGCGGACGUACAGCAGCCUUUUGACAAGACUGUCGCCGAGUGUACGGUACAUUGUGGACUGUAAAGCUGAAGAGUGCGCAGUGGAUGCCUGAUUUUGGAACCGAGUGUGAUCGUCUGGGCGGUGUGUUCACUCUGCGGGGAUGAUGGCCAGAGGAAGGAUGAUAGACAGACGACAGCUUGCAGAAGAAGAUGGGAGCGUUCUACCUGUGAGCCUGGUCGAGUUUAUAUUUUAUGGAUACACAUGCAUGGAUACACAUACAUGGAUUCCCUACAAGGACCCUGCGCAUCAAAAGCAAUCUGUCAUCAAUGUUAAGUAGACAGAUUAAACGAAACGAAGAUAUGACAGGUGUACACCAUAUUUUUCUUUCAUUUAA